rfam:Loktanella sp. 1ANDIMAR09 PM06_001, whole genome shotgun sequence.
ACAUAUCUGUUGGGGUGCCCCUAUCCGGGCUGAGAUGCACAUGCUGCAAACCCAUUGAACCUGAACCGGUUAGGACCGGCGGAGGGAACAGCUUGCGAACGAUG